UACAUGGAUACCUGUGGUAAUUCUAGAGCUAAUACACGCAGGUGAGGUGCAUUUAUUAGAACAAAGCCAAUUUUGGUGAAUCUGAAUAACUCACGGUCUUUGCACCGGCGACGUAUCUUUCAAGUGUCUGCCCUAUCAACUUUCGAUGGUAGUUUAUGUGCCUACCAUGGUUGUAACGGGUAACGGAGAAUAAGGGUUCGACUCCGGAGAGGGAGCCUGAGAAACGGCUACCACAUCCAAGGAAGGCAGCAGGCGCGCAAAUUACCCACUCUCAGCGAGGAGGUAGUGACGAAAAAUAACGAGACGGUUCUCUCUGUCAUCGGAAUGGGUACAAUUUAAAUCCUUUAACGAGGAUCUAUUGGAGGGCAAGUCUGGUGCCAGCAGCCGCGGUAAUUCCAGCUCCAAUAGCGUAUAUUAAAGUUGUUGCGGUUAAAAAGCUCGUAGUUGGAUCUGCUCGGAAGCCGGUCCCCUUCUAGGUGYGUCACUGGUUUCUGCAGGUCCUCUUCACUGAGUGCUGCAGUGACCAGUACGUUUACUUUGAAAAAAUUAGAGUGCUCAAAGCAGGCGCGUAGCCUGAAUAGUGGUGCAUGGAAUAAUGGAAUAGGAGGUUCUAUUUUGUUGGUUUUUGGAGCAGAGGUAAUGAUUAAGAGGGACAGACGGGGGCAUUCGUAUUGCUGCGUUAGAGGUGAAAUUCUUGGA
rnacentral:rRNA from 1 species